rnacentral:lncRNA from 1 species
UUUCUUACCCAACCUUGUAUUUUCAUAGCCUAGUGCACACCUGACCUACAAAGGAAAAAUGCAAGUUUUUGCAAGAAAAGAAAUGGGCUCCUAGUGCACCUACGUCUCAGCUGUGAGUAAUAUUCCCAUGGUCAUAAUAAUGUAAGAAUUGAAUAUUAAUUU